UACGGAGGGUGCGAGCGUUGUUCGGAAUCACUGGGCGUAAAGGGCGUGUAGGCGGCCCGCUAAGUCUGAUGUGAAAGCCCGGGGCUCACCCCCGGAAGUGCAUUGGAAACUGGCGGACUCGAGUCCCGGAGAGGAGGGUGGAAUUCCUGGUGUAGCGGUGAAAUGCGUAGAUAUCAGGAGGAACACCGGUGGCGAAGGCGGCCCUCUGGACGGUGACUGACGCUGAGACGCGAAAGCGUGGGGAGCAAACAGG
rnacentral:rRNA from 1 species